UACGUAGGAUCCAAGCGUUGUCCGGAUUUACUGGGUGUAAAGGGUGCGCAGGCGGACUUGUUAGUCAGGGGUGAAAUCUCACAGCUUAACUGUGAAACUGCCUUUGAUACUGCAAGUCUUGAAUUGGGGAGAGAGUUGUGGAGUUCCGAGUGUAGCAGUGAAAUGUGUAGAUAUUCGGAAGAACACCAGUGGCGAAGGCAGCAACUUGGCCCCAGAUUGACGCUCAGGCACGAAAGCAUGGGGAUCAAACAGG
rnacentral:rRNA from 1 species